UUGAGUUAGGGCCUGUAACAGGAGAAGGAGACCCCUCCCCCCCAAGGCAGCAGAGUAGGGGAGGGAAAUCCUGAGAGAGGGCAUCCAACAAUCAGGGAGAUCCCUAAGGGAGGCUGCUGGACUCUAUAGAGAAUGGCAGCACUAGGGGAAUUCUGCUGAAGAAGAGGCAAGACAGCAAAGCUCUGCAGGGACCAGGAGAAGGGGCUGAGAAGCAGAUGAAUUUAGUGGUGCCAGAGAGGGGCUGCUAGUUUGGUAAUGUCACAAUUUGGAACAGAAGUGAGUCUCGUGUCACACAUGCACUGGAUCAUGGCAUCAACUAAAUGAAUCUGGCAGGAGAAGAGUGAAGGAGAAAAGUUCUGUUUCUACAUGGAUACCAUGUUAAGCAGUUAUGAAGGACAAAGACGUAUAGACAAACACAUGACAGGUGUCUGAAAAAAAGAUGGAGACGUGGCCAGAGGGUAAAAUAUUCAUCUCCACCUAAGGCAGAGAUCCAUAUCAUGCCAUUCAUUUUAAAGCCGAUUUCCCAUUUAUGUCAGUGUCCUGCUUAAAAAUCAAUGGCACAGUACAGCCUGGUAUUGUCAGUGUAUUGAGGUAGCCAAAUCACCAGUGGGUGUGGUUCUGUGUCCUUUUGAUUUUUUUUUCUCAGUUUGUAAUGCAGUGCACAGCACUGGGCUACACAGUGUCACAGCACAUUAAAUCACUUCACAUCUGACGUGAUGCAACUUGACAUAACAUGUAUGGAGGGUUGGAAGAAUGCUAUCUUUAUGACUGUGGGCUUUCAACACCCAAGCUACGAAGCCUAGGCAGCCAGAUGGAGAUUCAGGGAGUCAGUGAAUAGAGGUUUGUUUGUUUUUGUUUUUUUAAGGCAGAUUACAUUCUGGCAUAUUUUCUAUAAAGGAAAAAUCCCUCUUUUCAAAGGCCAAUUUUCACAAAUAAGUUUUCAUUUAUUUAAUAUUUUAAGUAAUACUGAGACUUUUAAAAUUCAAAUGUUAAGUCCUUAAAUAUAUUUUGCAUCAUA